CUUUAUUGCUAGGGAAAGUCCCUGACCAGGAUCUCUGCUGCUACUUUUCCAGGUCAUCCCUCCCCCCCCGCCACUGCUUCUGGACUCGCUGUGCACAGAGGAUGAUGAGGGGGGACCCCUGGCCUGCAUGCUCCUGGGCUGGUACAUGAGCGGGUACCACACUGGCUUCUACAUGGGACUCAGACAAGGCCGGGCAGAGGCAGCGACGCCCCCUCCAAAGCAGGGACCACGGUGGAAGAAGUCAUCCCCGCACAGUUAGGGGCAGCUGGGUCUGGCUCCUUGCUCCCCCCCCCCACGGCAGGCUUGGGGCAGCGGCACUGUCGGCCAGAGGUCUCCGCGCUGGCACCAGCGCUCAUGCUUUGAGGACUGGGACUCUGCAGUGCUGGAUACAAGCUGGCCGUGCACCCCUGGGAGGGAGAGGACCCGUGCUGGCUCGGAGCCCGGCUGGAGUCCAGGGUGUGGAGGCGUUGCUCCCCAGUGGCAGGCUUGCGCAGACGGGAUGGCUGGGGCCCAUCGGCAGGUUCCAAUAAAAGGUGUUUGUCAGACCCUGUGCUCCAGGGAGGUUGUUGGUCUGGACGGGUGGGGAGUUCCCACUGGUGGGAUGGAGGGAUGGCGGUGGGUUCCCGUGUUUGAAACA
rnacentral:lncRNA from 1 species